rnacentral:rRNA from 1 species
CCUACGGGCGGCAGCAGUGGGGAAUAUUGGGCAAUGGGCGCAAGCCUGACCCAGCAACGCCGCGUGAAGGAAGAAGGCUUUCGGGUUGUAAACUUCUUUUCUCAGGGACGAAACAAGUGACGGUACCUGAGGAAUAUGCCACGGCUAACUACGUGCCAGCAGCCGCGGUAAUACGGAGGUGGCAAGCGUUAUUCGGAUUUAUUGGGUGUAAAGGGCGUGUAGGCGGGAAAGCAAGUCAGAUGUGAAAACCAUGGGCUCAACCUGUGGCCUGCAUCUGAAACUGUUUUUCUUGAGUACUGGAGAGGCAGACGGAAUUCGUGGUGUAGCGGUGAAAUGCGUAGAUAUUAGGAGGAACACCAGUGGCGAAGGCGGUCUGCUGGACAGCAACUGACGCUGAGGCGCGAAGGCGUGGGGAGCGAACAGGAUUAGAUACCCGAGUAGUC